CUUAUCAUAUAGUGAGACCUUCAAGGAACCUAACUGUAUCUUCUGCAAAAAGAUCUAUCAGUUAUGGAGAUUGAGCCAAAUUGAUGACAUGACAGGAGACAAAGACUUAGAUGUUCAAGAAUGAUUUUUGAUUAUUUCCUGUAUCUUGGAAGCAUCGUCAGAAUUAGCGAGACCCUUACUUGAAUUCUCUGGUUCUGUUUGCUCUGAUUCUGUAAUUAUUUCGGAACAUUGGCCAUGUCUGUGUUGGGAAGACAGUAAUGCUUAUUCGCAAGUGUUGCCUCCCACCCCACUGUAGCAGGGCCCUCUACAUCUGCAGGGCAGACUUAAGCAAACAAUAAGCAUAGAAUGGGGCAGCUCAGUAGCUCAAUCAGUAGCACUGCUGCUUCACUGUGCCAGGGACCGAUUCCACCCUCCGUCGACUGUGAGGAAUCUGCACAUUCUCCCCGUGUCUGCAUGGGUUUCCGCACAGUGCUCCAGUUGCCCCCCACAGU